UUAUAGCUUGAUAUUGUGUUGAACUUUCUGAUUCUUUAUUGUUGCACAAGCUUGUUUGAUCUAGUAGAUUAGUCCGUCCAAUAGUAAAUCACCAAUUUCGUUUUUAUUUGAUUAGUUUGUGGUUCUUUGUGGUCUCGAUAGUUGCAAGUCAGAGAUGAUUCUAAUGUUGUUGUUAUGUAAUCAGGUGUUACGCUCGUCUUCACCCAAGGGCAGUGAACUGCAGGAAGAAGAAGUGUGGUCACAGCAACCAGUUGAGGCCUAAGAAGAAGAUCAAGUAGAGAGACACGUAUCAAGUAUCUCAUCUCUUGCUUUGCUUGCUUCUUUUUGUUAUCUUCCCUUUGAUUGGGUUUGUUUUCUUUUUGUUUCGGUGAUGUUAAAAGAUAAUAUCAGUAUAAGGAUUUGGUUUUCUAUCUACUCUGAAUCGGUUAUGAGAUAUUCAUGCUUAAUUCCAGAUUACUCUCUAUCCGUUUUGAACU